rnacentral:rRNA from 1 species
AUUGAACGCUGGCGACAGGCCUAACACAUGCAAGUCGAGCGAGCGGCGGACGGGUGAGUAAUGUCUGGGAAACUGCCUGAUGGAGGGGGAUAACUACUGGAAACGGUAGCUAAUACCGCAUACCAUCAGAUGUGCCAAGCUGGGAUUAGCUAGUAGGUGGGGUAACGGCUCACCUCGGCGACGAUCCCUAGCCUGGCUGAGAGGAUGACCAGCACCACGGGAACUGAGACACGGUCCAGACUCAUAGGGGAGGCAGAAUGGGGGACUAUGGCACAAGGAGCGCAAGCCCGAUGCAGCCAUGCCGCGUGUGUGAAGAAGGCCUUCGGGUUGUAAAGCACUUUCAGCGGGGAGGCGUUACCCGCAGAAGAAGCACCGGCUAACUCCGUGCCAGCAGCCGCGGUAAUAC